UGCUUAGUGCGAGAAGGUCAAGGAAGCUGGUGCCCUGAUGACUGGGAGCUGGCGGGCGGAGCAUCGGAGAACGGUGGUUGUAUAAAUAAUGAUCCUAAGGUAGGGAAAUUCCUUGUUGGGUAAGUUUUUAUCCGCAUGAAA
rnacentral:ncRNA from 1 species